CUCUUAUCCAGAGAGGCGGAGGGACUGGCCCUAUGAUGCCCGGCAACCGAGCUUAUGAAUUAUAAGCUAAGGUGCUAAUUCCUGCAAAACGAUUUUCGUUUUGGAAGAUAAGAG
rnacentral:ncRNA from 20 species